UACGUAGGGACCGAGCGUUAUCCGGAUUCAUUGGGCGUAAAGAGCUCGUAGGCGGCUAUUCAAGUCGAACGUGAAAUCUCGGAGCUCAACUCCGAGCCUGCGUUCGAUACUGGGUAGCUAGAGUCUGGUAGGGGGAUCUGGAAUUCCUGGUGUAGCGGUGGAAUGCGCAGAUAUCAGGAGGAACACCGGUGGCGAAAGCAGCUUUCUGGGACGGUACUGACGCUGAGACGCGAAAGCGUGGGGAGCGAACAGG
rnacentral:rRNA from 1 species